AUGAACGCUAGCUACAGGCUUAACACAUGCAAGUCGAGGGGCAGCAUGGUCUUAGCUUGCUAAGGCCGAUGGCGACCGGCGCACGGGUGAGUAACACGUAUCCAACCUGCCGUCUACUCUUGGACAGCCUUCUGAAAGGAAGAUUAAUACAAGAUGGCAUCAUGAGUCCACAUGUUCACAUGAUUAAAGGUAUUCCGGUAGACGAUGGGGAUGCGUUCCAUUAGAUAGUAGGCGGGGUAACGGCCCACCUAGUCUUCGAUGGAUAGGGGUUCUGAGAGGAAGGUCCCCCACAUUGGAACUGAGACACGGUCCAAACUCCUACGGGAGGCAGCAGUGAGGAAUAUUGGUCAAUGGGCGAGAGCCUGAACCAGCCAAGUAGCGUGAAGGAUGACUGCCCUAUGGGUUGUAAACUUCUUUUAUAAAGGAAUAAAGUCGGGUAUGGAUACCCGUUUGCAUGUACUUUAUGAAUAAGGAUCGGCUAACUCCGUGCCAGCAGCCGCGGUAAUACGGAGGAUCCGAGCGUUAUCCGGAUUUAUUGGGUUUAAAGGGAGCGUAGAUGGAUGUUUAAGUCAGUUGUGAAAGUUUGCGGCUCAACCGUAAAAUUGCAGUUGAUACUGGAUAUCUUGAGUGCAGUUGAGGCAGGCGGAAUUCGUGGUGUAGCGGUGAAAUGCUUAGAUAUCACGAAGAACUCCGAUUGCGAAGGCAGCCUGCUAAGCUGCAACUGACAUUGGGGCUCGAAAGUGUGGGUAUCAAACAGGAUUAGAUACCCUGGUAGUCCACACGGUAAACGAUGAAUACUCGCUGUUUGCGAUAUACGGCAAGCGGCCAAGCGAAAGCGUUAAGUAUUCCACCUGGGGAGUACGCCGGCAACGGUGAAACUCAAAGGAAUUGACGGGGGCCCGCACAAGCGGAGGAACAUGUGGUUUAAUUCGAUGAUACGCGAGGAACCUUACCCGGGCUUAAAUUGCAGAUGAAUUACGGUGAAAGCCGUAAGCCGCAAGGCAUCUGUGAAGGUGCUGCAUGGUUGUCGUCAGCUCGUGCCGUGAGGUGUCGGCUUAAGUGCCAUAACGAGCGCAACCCUUGUUGUCAGUUACUAACAGGUCAUGCUGAGGACUCUGACAAGACUGCCAUCGUAAGAUGUGAGGAAGGUGGGGAUGACGUCAAAUCAGCACGGCCCUUACGUCCGGGGCUACACACGUGUUACAAUGGGGGGUACAGAGGGCCGCUACCACGCGAGUGGAUGCCAAUCCCAAAAACCUCUCUCAGUUCGGACUGGAGUCUGCAACCCGACUCCACGAAGCUGGAUUCGCUAGUAAUCGCGCAUCAGCCACGGCGCGGUGAAUACGUUCCCGGGCCUUGUACACACCGCCCGUCAAGCCAUGGGAGCCGGGGGUACCUGAAGUGCGUAACCGCGAGGAGCGCCCUAGGGUAAAACUGGUGACUGGGGCU
rnacentral:rRNA from 1 species